rnacentral:rRNA from 1 species
AUUGAACGCUGGCGGCAGGCCUAACACAUGCAAGUCGAGCGGUAGAGAGAAGCUUGCUUCUCUUGAGAGCGGCGGACGGGUGAGUAAUGCCUAGGAAUCUGCCUGGUAGUGGGGGAUAACGUUCGGAAACGGACGCUAAUACCGCAUACGUCCUACGGGAGAAAGCAGGGGACCUUCGGGCCUUGCGCUAUCAGAUGAGCCUAGGUCGGAUUAGCUAGUUGGUGAGGUAAUGGCUCACCAAGGCGACGAUCCGUAACUGGUCUGAGAGGAUGAUCAGUCACACUGGAACUGAGACACGGUCCAGACUCCUACGGGAGGCAGCAGUGGGGAAUAUUGGACAAUGGGCGAAAGCCUGAUCCAGCCAUGCCGCGUGUGUGAAGAAGGUCUUCGGAUUGUAAAGCACUUUAAGUUGGGAGGAAGGGCAGUUACCUAAUACGUGAUUGUUUUGACGUUACCGACAGAAUAAGCACCGGCUAACUCUGUGCCAGCAGCCGCCGUAAAAC